rnacentral:misc_RNA from 1 species
GUAAUAGUGAUCUUGUUAGCACUAGCACAAAGUAGACUAGGAAGCCACCGACUUUCCCGUGUAUCAGUUAAUAGAAAGAUUGCAUCAUGUGAGUUGAUCAAAUCACUCAAAUGUCUGCAGUCCUGAAGUAUAUUACUUUCUUCUUGGCUAGACACUGGAUGUCCAGGCAUCGGAAUAGCCAUCACAACUCCUUCUGCUUCCACUGCUGGAAAUAUUCGCUUGAGACUUUCAACUGCUGCAACGGCCUUAAAUUUGCCACCAUUUAAACAGUCAUCAAGCGCAUAAAGAGACUGCCUUAUUGGAUUAGACAUUGAGACCUUACCACUGUCAACCAAUGUAAUUUUUCGGACACCCCAUGCCAUAAGCAUUCGAGCAACUUGGCAUCCGAGGGUACCUGCUCCCAGAAGGAGACAUCUUGUGGAAGCCAACAUUUCUAGAUUCAAUGACGGCAAUGUCCGC